rnacentral:snRNA from 1 species
GUGCUUGCUUCAGCAGCACGUAUGCUAAAAUUGGAAGGAUACUGAGAUUAGCAUAGCCCCUGUGCAAGGAUGCAUAAACUCCUGAACCAUUUCAUAUUUUU